AACCCUAAAAAAUUUGAGACACCAAACUGCAAAAGAGCAAAAGCCGCCGUAAGCGUCGUCUCAGAUGUCUUCUUCUUCUCUUCGUCAGUUCUUGUCCUAUCUGCAGAAGUCGCCACAAGCAUCUUCUCAGACGUCUUCUUAUUCUUCUCUUCUUCAGCUCUUCUCCUACUUGCAGAAGCCGCUAUAGACGAGGCUCUCCCUUUGCUCUGCGGCAGAGGAUUAGCGAUUCGAUGGUUUUUCUUAUUUGCUUUAUGCUCCAAACAUGCACCUAUAUACAAAUCUUCUGCGCUUCUCUGUUUCUUGUAGUGACUGAUAUGAACAGAUGAUGGUACAUAUGCGCUGAAGAAAGUCUUCUUUCACACCACUGAUCAGUUAGAGUUGGUAAGGGAGGAGAUUCGUGUAAUUGCAGCUAAGAUUAGCUAAUUGAUCUUAAUUCCUCACUAACAAAACAAGAUGUCCCUAUUCAAUAUUUUACUCCUAUUAUAUAAUCAUGUAGUUAUGUAGUUAAAACCUUGCCCUUUCAAUGCC